rnacentral:rRNA from 1 species
UAAUACGUAGGGGGCAAGCGUUGUCCGGAUUUAUUGGGCGUAAAGAGCGUGUAGGCGGCCAGACAGGUCCGUUGUGAAAACUAGAGGCUUAACCUCUAGACGUCGAUGGAAACCGUCUGGCUAGAGUCCGGAAGAGGAGAAUGGAAUUCCUGGUGUAGCGGUGAAAUGCGCAGAUAUCAGGAAGAACACCCGUGGCUAAGGCGGUUCUCUAGUACGGUACUGACGCUGAGACGCGAAAGCGUGGGGAGCGAACAGGAUUAGAUACCCUGGUAGUCCACGCCGUAAACGAUGGAUGCUAGCCGUUGGCGGGUUUACUCGUCAGUGGCGCAGCUAACGCAUUAAGCAUCCCGCCUGGGGAGUACGGUCGCAAGGCUG